rnacentral:rRNA from 1 species
CCUACGGGAGGCUGCAGUCGAGAAUCUUCGGCAAUGCGCGCAAGCGUGACCGAGCGACGCCGUGUGUGGGAUGAAGGCCUUCGGGUUGUAAACCACUGUCGUAGAGGAGGAAGUUGAUUGGGGUUCUCCCCAGUCAUUGACCUAUUCUAGGAGGAAGGACGGGCUAAGUUCGUGCCAGCAGCCGCGGUAAUACGAACCGUCCGAACGUUAUUCGGAAUAACUGGGCUUAAAGGGUACGUAGGUGGGGUGUGAAAUCCCUCGGCUCAACCGAGGAAUUGCGCCCGAUACUGCAGUGCUUGAGGGAGACAGAGGUAAGCGGAACUGAUGGUGGAGCGGUGAAAUGCGUUGAUAUCAUCAGGAACACCAGUGGCGAAAGCGGCUUACUGGGUCUCUUCUGACGCUGAGGUACGAAAGCUAGGGGAGCGAAGGGGAUUAGAUACCCCGGUAGUC